CGACCCCUCACCUGGAGGAAGGUUUGGUGCUGCAGGGUGUUGGCUGCCUGCAGAACCGACGUCCCAUGCUCCAUGUCCUGCUCCAGGGCCAGCAGCUGUUUGCCAUUUUCUGGAGCCCUUUAGCAAACUCCAUCUCUGGAAGAAAAAGUUUGGAAGUGAAAAGGCACGCGAGACACUGGGAAUUCCCUGGAGGAACCCAAUCUUCUUUUGAAAGAUAAAUCAGGAACUUGAAGAGUGAAGUUCCCACUUCCCUGGCAGUGUUGGUCUCCCCCCAGACUCUUGUAGGGACCUCGACCUGCCCCAGGGCUCAGCCCUGCUCCAGAGGGACCCACCCACCAUCCCCCUGCUCACCCAGCGUGGUCCUUUUCUCCAGGUACGAGAUCAGGUCCUUCAUGUACUUGGAGAUGGUUUUGGCGUACUGGAGAGCAGCGUCCACCCCCCCCUCGCAGCGCUGCAGCAUCACGUCCACUUCCUCGGCCGCGGGACGGGCUGCAGGGGGACACCCCGUGAGCUUCCAGUGCAAACCUCCCCAGCUCCGAGCCCGCCCCGUGCUGUGCCGGUCCUGCCGACCCCGGUGCCACAGCCCUGCUGCCUCUUCCCAGCCGAGGAGCCAAGUGUGGCUCAGGAUCACAGCGAUGACAGGGAAGGCGCCGGUUCCUGCUCAGCCAGGCACCCCCACCCCAAACCCUGCACCCACCCUCGUCCUGCUCACCCGCGUUGUAGCUCUCCACGCCCACAGGCACACUGUCUCCUCCAGGCCCAGGGAUCCCCCCGCAGAGGCUCUCCAUACUCUUUGAGGAUUUGGAAAGAAAAGGGGCUGGUCAGCCAAGCAGAUGGAGGGGAGGCUGGAACCUGGAGCUGCCGGAGCUUCAGCUGUUGCUGGAAGUUGGCUGUGCCCAGGCUGUGCCCAGGCUGUGCCCAGGCUCUCAUGGGAAUGUCUCUGGAGAAACACCCUGCUCUGGGCUCCCAUCAGAGCUGGGGGAGGAGCCAGAGCCCCACGGCUCACCUGGUUCUGGUCGCUGGGAGGGAUGGAGAGGAGGGUGCUGCUGUCCACCUCCCCCAUGAGGAACUCGGACACCCUGUGGGGAGAGGUGACAGCACAGGGACAGUGACAUGGGCUGUCACCCAGCAGCACUCACGGACCAGCUGUGGAGGCAGCUGCCCACAAUCCCUUACGUGCUGCUGAAGGACACAGCGAUGGUCUCCACGGCCUUCUCGAACUCCCGCUUGUCCGCCUCGUUGUUGGAUUCAUAGUGGAACCCUGGAGAAGAGGAAAUGUGGGAGCCCUGUCA